UGCGGUUAAAAAGCUCGUAGUUGGAUUUCUGUUGAAGACUGUCGGUCUGCUCUAUGAGCAUGUAUCUGAUGUGGCUUCGGCAUCCUCUUGAGGUGUGCUUAUGCGCUUGAUUGCGUGGGGCAGGCCCCAAGACUUUUACUUUGAGGAAAUUAGAGUGUUCACGGCAGGCAAGCGUCAUGAAUAUAUUAGCAUGGAAUAAUAAUAUAGGAUUUAGGUUCUAUUUUAUUGGUUUCUAGGACUUAGAUAACGAUUAAUAGGGAUAAUUGGGGGCAUUUGUAUUAACUCGUCAGAGGUGGAAUUCUUGGAUUGAGUUACGACAAACUACUGCGAAAGCAUUUGCCAAGGAUGUUUUCAUUGAUCAAGAACGAAAGUAUAGGGAUCGAAGAUGAUUAGAUACCGUCGUAGUCUAUACCAUAAACUAUGCCAACUAGGGAUUGGAGGUUGUUCUCUUUGUGACACCUUCAGCACCUUAUGAGAAAUCAAAGUCUUUUGGGUUCCGGGGGGAGUAUGGUC
rnacentral:rRNA from 1 species